UACGGGAGCAGCAGUGGGGAAUAUUGCACAAUGGGCGAAAGCCUGAUGCAGCUAUGCCGCGUGUAUGAAGAAGGCCUUAGGGUUGUAAAGUACUUUCAUCGGGGAGGAAAAAACAAAACUAAUAAUUUUAUUUCUUGACGUUACCCGAAAAAGAAGCACCGGCUAACUCCGUGCCAGCAGCCGCGGUAAUACGGAGGGUGCUAGCGUUAAUCAGAAUUACUGGGCGUAAAGAGCACGUAGGUGGUUUUUUUAAGUCAGAUGUGAAAUCCCUGGGCUUAACCUAGGAACUGCAUUUUGAAACUGAAAUACUAGAGUAUCGUAGAGGGAGGUAGAAUUCUAGGUGUAGCGGUGAAAUGCGUAGAUAUCUGGAGGAAUACCUGUGGCGAAAGCGGCCUCCUAAACGAAUACUGACACUGAGGUGCGAAAGCGUGGGGAGCGAAACAGGGAUUAGAUACC
rnacentral:rRNA from 1 species